AUGAGGAUGCUUGCACUUGGUACUGCUGUCGAUGUUGUUGGUGAGAUGGUUCGAAUGGGGAAGAACACAUGCCUAAAGACAAUUGUGAACUUUUCCCGCGUCGUAGUGGAGGUGUUUGGAGCUGAGUAUCUAAGAGAACCAAAUGUGCAUGAUACAGAAAGGUUGCUGGCUAUUAGAGGGGAAAGAGGUUUUCUGGGUACGAAAGUUCAAUUGAUUGCAUGCAUUAGCAAUGGAAGAGCUGCCCCAAAGGUUUGCGCAGGAUGUACCAAGGUCAUACCAAAGAGGCCACCAUCAUACUGA
rnacentral:rRNA from 1 species